rnacentral:rRNA from 1 species
UACGUAGGUGGCAAGCGUUGUCCGGAAUUAUUGGGCGUAAAGAGCUCGUAGGCGGUCUGUUGCGUCCGCUGUGAAAACUCGGGGCUUAACCCCGAGCCUGCAGUGGAUACGGGCAGACUAGAGGUAGGUAGGGGAGAGUGGAAUUCCCGGUGUAGCGGUGAAAUGCGCAGAUAUCAGGAGGAACACCGAUGGCGAAGGCAGCUCUCUGGGCCGCUACUGACGCUGAGAAGCGAAAGCAUGGGGAGCGAACAGG